CAUCUGCCAGAGCCUGGAGUCUGCGAAGGCCGGGACCCGGUUCCCCGGCCCACAGUGGGGGUGUGCAAACCCGAGAGAACUGGGUUGCAAAUUCGUGAAGAAUCAGCAUCAUGUUUGGCAGCUGAGUAUUGGAGCCAGGAGCCUGCCAUGAGGUUUUGAGAACAGAGUGCUGUUUUAGAGCUGGCAGCAGCAUCUCAGCCCAAGAGAAGUUUCUUUGCAGGUUAUAUUCCCAGAGGAUGUCAGUCCCAAGGACCAGUAGCUGCCAUCAGUUUGGAUUCUGAAAACUAACUGGCAUCAACACUGGGUGUAGAAACAUGCUUGCCUUAUGUAUCAGAGGACAUGCUCAGCAGAUCCAAGAGAUAUAUUUGGCAACUUUUUCUAGAAAAGGCACAUUGGGUAUCAUUCAUUACAUUCUUGAGUUUUUUUGGGUUUUUUUUUUUUUUUUUGAGACAGUCUUGCUGUAUUGCCCAGGCUGGAGUGUGGUGGCACAAUCACAGCUCAUUGCAUCCUCAAUCACCCAGGCCUAAGCAAUCCUCCCACCUUGUAGCUGGGACUACAGCUCACAGCACACCUGGCUAAAAUUUUUUUUUUGUUGAGACGGAUUCUCUAUGUUGCCCAGGCUGGUCUCAGGCUCCUGGGCUCAGAUGGUCCUCCUGCCUCAGCUUCCAAAGGCACAGGCCAAGUUGUAGCUUUGUCCCUUGCCAUCAUGCCCAACAAGAGGUUCUAUACCUUUUAAUGAAUUGACUUUCAUAAAUUGGUUAUGUUGGUGGGCAAAGUUCUUUAAGCUGGAAAUUGUAAAUUCCUCCUGAAAUGUUUUUUCAUGCAGUUACCAUGAACUAAUACUACAAUAAAGGAUGGUCUUGGGUGUCAAUUCUUG
rnacentral:lncRNA from 10 species